CAAUAGCGUAUAUUAAAGUUGUUGCAGUUAAAAAGCUCGUAGUUGGAUUUCUGGUGGGAGUGACCGUUCCGGACUUGAUUGUCUGUGUAUUGAGUUGUCUCCAGCCAUCCUUGUGGAGAACUUUUCUUGCAUUAAUUUGUAGGGAUUGGGAUCCACAUCGUUUACUGUGAAAAAAUUAGAGUGUUUAAAGCAGGCAAUCGCUUGAAUACAUUAGCAUGGAAUAAUAAGAUAGGACUUUGGUACUAUUUUGUUGGUUUGCAUACCAAAUUAAUGAUCAACAGGAACAGUUUGAGGAUAUUCGUAUGAACAUGUCAGAGGUGAAAUUCUUGGAUUUUGAUCAGACGAACUACUGCGAAAGCAUUUAGCAAGGAUGUUUUCAUUAA
rnacentral:rRNA from 1 species